GGAGGGAGAACAGACUGUCAGCAGUUCCCAGCGCUAUCAGGAUUCUCUGCUCUGCCACUGACGUUUAUGAGUUGAAAUGAAGAACCCAACCACAGAACAGAAUCUCCAAAGGCUGGAAGGUGCCAGGCACAGUUAUCACAGCAGGAUGCUUUCGGUUCUGGGCCACAGAGCAGCAGCGUUUUGGAGGAGCAUGAGAGCGAGGCUGCAUUCUCUUCACUACUUUGAGGCCACCUAGUGAGAAGGCUGUGGUGGUAUCAUUCUGUGGAAUGCCAACUGGCAGUAAAAGGCACAAGCCACAGCUAUACACAAAUGGAUCAAUCAGCCA
rnacentral:lncRNA from 1 species